AGUGAACGCUGGCGGCAGGCCUAACACAUGCAAGUCGAACGGCAGCACAAGAGAGCUUGCUCUCUGGGUGGCGAGUGGCGGACGGGUGAGGAAUGCAUCGGAAUCUGCCCAUUUGUGGGGGAUAACCUCGGGAAACCGGGACUAAUACCGCAUACGACCUACGGGUGAAAGCAGGGGAUCUUCGGACCUUGCGCAGAUGGAUGAGCCGAUGCCGGAUUAGCUAGUUGGAGGGGUAAAGGCCCACCAAGGCGACGAUCCGUAGCUGGUCUGAGAGGAUGAUCAGCCACACUGGGACUGAGACACGGCCCAGACUCCUACGGGAGGCAGCAGUGGGGAAUAUUGGACAAUGGGCGCAAGCCUGAUCCAGCCAUGCCGCGUGUGUGAAGAAGGCCUUCGGGUUGUAAAGCACUUUUGUUGGGAAAGAAAGGCAGCCGGUUAAUACCCGGUUGUCAUGACGGUACCCAAAGAAUAAGCACCGGCUAACUUCGUG
rnacentral:rRNA from 1 species